GGAGGAGUGUCCGAGUGGUUUAAGGAGGCGGUCUUGAAAACCGUUAGACCGAAAGGUCUCGUGGGUUCGAAUCCUACCUCCUCCGCCA
rnacentral:tRNA from 1 species